rnacentral:rRNA from 1 species
UACGUAGGUGGCAAGCGUUGUCCGGAUUUACUGGGCGUAAAGAGCGCGCAGGCGGUCGUCCAAGUCGCGUGUGAAAGCCCCCGGCUCAACUGGGGAGGGUCACGCGAUACUGGUAGACUCGAAGGCAGGAGAGGGUAGUGGAAUUCCCGGUGUAGUGGUGAAAUGCGUAGAUAUCGGGAGGAACACCAGUGGCGAAGGCGACUACCUGGCCUGUUCUUGACGCUGAGGCGCGAAAGCUAGGGGAGCAAACGGG